AGAGAGAGAGUACGAGAGAAGAGUGUGAAAGAGAGGAAUGUGAGAGAAAAAGAAUGCAAGUGAAGAGUGUGAGAGAGAGAGAUAGAAAGAAAGAAAGAGUGUAUGUGCAAGAGAGGAGUGUGAAAGAAAGAGAGUAUAAGAGGGACCAAGUAUAGAGUUUAGGGUUUGUAAUUUUAUUUAUUUGGAUUUUAGAGGGACUUAGUGUGGUUCCUAUAUCUCAUAAUCU
rnacentral:lncRNA from 1 species